CCUACGGGGGGCUGCAGUGGGGAAUAUUGGACAAUGGGGGCAACCCUGAUCCAGCCAUGCCGCGUGUGUGAAGAAGGCCCUCGGGUUGUAAAGCACUUUCAGUGAGGAAGAACGCCUGGUGGUUAAUACCCAUCAGGAAAGACAUCACUCACAGAAGAAGCACCGGCUAACUCCGUGCCAGCAGCCGCGGUAAUACGGAGGGUGCGAGCGUUAAUCGGAAUUACUGGGCGUAAAGCGCGCGUAGGUGGCUUGAUAAGCCGGUUGUGAAAGCCCCGGGCUCAACCCGGGAACGGCAUCCGGAACUGGCAAGCUAGAGUGCAGGAGAGGAAGGUAGAAUUCCCGGUGUAGCGGUGAAAUGCGUAGAGAUCUGGAGGAAUACCAGUGGCGAAGGCGGCCUUCUGGACUGACACUGACACUGAGGUGCGAAAGCGUGGGUAGCAAACAGGAUUAGAUACCCUGGUAGUC
rnacentral:rRNA from 1 species